AUUGAACGCUGGCGGCAUGCCUUACACAUGCAAGUCGAACGGCAGCACGGGAGCAAUCCUGGUGGCGAGUGGCGAACGGGUGAGUAAUAUAUCGGAACGUGCCCAGUAGUGGGGGAUAACUGCUCGAAAGAGCAGCUAAUACCGCAUACGACCUGAUGGCGCAAGGGGGGGAUCGCAAGACCUCUCGCUAUUGUAGCGGCCGAUAUCAGAUUAGCUAGUUGGUGGGGUAAGGCCUACCAAGGCAACGAUCUGUAGUUGGUCUGAGAGGACGACCAGCCACACUGGGACUGAGACACGGCCCAGACUCCGACGGGAGGCAGCAGUGGGGAAUUCUGGACAAUGGGCGCAAGCCUGAUCCAGCAAUGCCGCGUGCAGGAAGAAGGCCUUCGGGUUGUAAACUGCUUUUGUCAGGGAAGAAAUCCUCUAGGUUAAUACCCUUGGGGGGAUGACGGUACCUGAAGAAUAAGCACCGGCUAACUACGUGCCAGCCGCCGCAGUAAUAC
rnacentral:rRNA from 1 species